UAAAAUAAAAUAGGUAUAAGAAAUUGACCUUAAUAUUAGUUCUAGAAUUUGAAUGCUAGGAUGACUUUGACAUUCAUAAGCGGAUAAGAUCCCGACCAAACGGAAAAAUCAGACAAGAAAAAUGGAGAAGAUGUAAUUUUCUGAAAGAAAACCCUGAACCUACUCCUUUCUUCUACUUUUCUGUCUCUCACUCUAAUGUCCAAAAGCCUUGAAUAACACAAAAAACAGAAACAUUUUUUAUGCAUGUUUCUUUCUGGAAUUUCAAUGAAAAUGGAAAAUAAGGAAAGGGGAUUGAAGAGUUCCUAAACACUAGUUCUUCACUCCUUUUUCCCUCAAACAUUCUAUCCGAAAUCCUCUCUCUUUGCAUUAUUGGAUUCUAGAAUCCCCUAUUCUCCGUCCCCUUCUCAGUCUCGUUCUCUCAGUCGUUUCCGCUCUCACUGGGCGCGACUCCCCCAAAACCCCUCUAUUUCAUUCUUUUUUGCAGCUGAGAUGCAGUGGCCGGUGGUCCAAACGGGUGGUGUGUGUGUGAUUCUGGGGAGUUAAAGGUGGAAAAAGGCUAGGGAUGCGGCUGGUUUCAGAAGGAUGGUGUGCGGCUGGCUCUGGCGAGUUUGGGUUGAGGGUAGUGCCAGAGGCAGUUUUGAUGGGAGGGAGGGUGGCUAGGGAUUAUUAGGUUUUGGAAUAGGGCUAGGGUUUGUAAAGAUUUUGUUUUUUUUAUGUUUGGAGGUGUAGACAAUAAACUUUGCGUCGAGAAAAUAAAAUUAGGACCGAAAAAUAUUGCGACAAUUAUAAUAUUUGAUUUCAAGUAAUAUAAGUAUACAAUCUUUAUGAAUCCUCUGAUUCUUCUUUCUAUCUAAUAGUAAAUAAUUUCAAAGGCCGUUGAGCUUGAUCU
rnacentral:lncRNA from 1 species